UACGUAGGGUGCAAGCGUUGUCCGGAAUUAUUGGGCGUAAAGGGCGCGUAGGCUGCUUUGCGUGUCUUUCGUGAAAUCCCUCGGCUCAACUGAGGACGUGCGGAAGAAACUGCAGGGCUGGAGUCCGGGAGAGGAGGGUGGAAUUCCCAGUGUAGCGGUGAAAUGCGUAGAUAUUGGGAGGAACACCGGUGGCGAAGGCGGCCCUCUGGACCGGUACUGACGCUGAUGCGCGAAAGCGUGGGGAGCAAACGGG
rnacentral:rRNA from 1 species